rnacentral:rRNA from 1 species
UACGAAGGGGGCUAGCGUUGUUCGGAUUUACUGGGCGUAAAGCGCACGUAGGCGGAUUGUUAAGUCGGGGGUGAAAUCCUGGAGCUCAACUCCAGAAUUGCCUUCGAUACUGGCUUUCUAGAGGCUGGAAGAGGUUAGUGGAAUUCCCAGUGUAGAGGUGAAAUUCGUAGAUAUUGGGAGGAACACCAGUGGCGAAGGCGGCUCACUGGACCGGAACUGACGCUGAGGCGCGAAAGCGUGGGGAGCAAACAGG